rnacentral:lncRNA from 1 species
UGCACGCCUGUAAUCCCAGCCACUCAGGAGGUUGUGGCACGAGAAUCGCUUAAACCCGGGAGGCGGAGGUUACAGUGAGCCUAGAUCGCGCCACUGCCCUCCAGCCUGGGCAACAGAGACUCUGUCUCCAAAAAAAAAAAAAAAAAAAAAAAGAUACCGCUUGGCAUCUGGAAAUGUCUGGGACGACCUCUAGAAUUAACCUAGCUCAAACCUCUGUUCCCAGAUCAGUUUCAUCCUGAAGGCUUCCCUAGGGAUGGAUCAUCAAGUCCUGGGAAACUGGACAUAAAAUGCCCACUACUUAAAUAAUGAUUUCCCAUACGUAACUUUUAGUGACCCGAGUUAUAAAUGUUUUUUAAGGAGGAUUUCUAUCUAUGCAAUGAGGGGAAUUUUUCAGGUUCCUGGUUCUCUUUCUAUAAAUGGUGUUUUCAUUACAAUACUAAGGGAAAGUUUUGUACGUUGAAAUUAAGUUACCAUAGAAUUUAAUAACCAAGGUGAUUAUUAAACUGAUUGAGGGUUGGUCUUUUCCCCCAUUGCGUAUGCAGUACUUUCUUGGUAAUCAUUUCACACAAGAAAUUUUCUUUUAUGACAAACCUUCAUCGUUAUGCUGGGAAUUAAGUGCUUUGAUUUUUUUUUUUUUUUUUUUUUUUAACCCCAGGGAAGUGCUGGGGGCGGG